rnacentral:misc_RNA from 1 species
AAUUCUCAACCGCCCUCGGUUUUGUUAUCGAAGCCGCUGGGUCGCGUUGGAACUUGGGGGCAAGUGCCGGUGGCUCGCGCCGUCGGCUCCCCUUAAAAGCAUUAGCGACGAACCUCCGCAGGAUCGCGCACUCGGUGUGAUAGACUAUCUACGCCGUCGUGCCAUCCCGCGCGCCAUCGCGGCGCGCAAAGAGGUUUCUGCCCAAAGCGGUCGCUCACAGCCGUCUCGCCUUAAAAAAGCGGACAGCGCUUCGGCGCUCAGCACAUCACA